GACGAACGCUGGCGGCGUGCUUAACACAUGCCAGUCGAACGAAAAGGCCCUGCUUUUGUGCGGUGCUCGAGUGGCGAACUGGUAAGUAACCCGUGAGUAACCUGCCCUUGACUUUGGGGUAACUUCAUGAAACUGGGGCUAAUACCGCAUAGGAGCUCCUGCUGCUUGGUGGGGGUUGGUUAGUUUCGGUGGUUGGUGGUGGACUGGCGUAUUAUCAGCUUGUUGGUGGGGUAGUGGCUUACCAAGGCUUUGACGGGUGGCCGGCCUGGGAGGGGGACCGGCCACAUUGGGACGGGGAUGAGGCCCAGACUCCUACGGGAGGCAGCAGUGGGGAAUAUUGCACAAUGGGCGGAAGCCAGAUGCAGCAAAGCCGCGUGCGGGAUGACGGCCUUCGGGUUGUAAACCGCUUUCGCCUGUGACGAAGCGUGAGUGACGGUAAUGGGUAAAGAAGCACCGGCUAACUACGUG
rnacentral:rRNA from 1 species